rnacentral:tRNA from 1 species
UGUCCAGGUAUGGGAAUCGAACCCACAUUGUUCCGCUUACCGGGCAGAUGCCCGGUAGCUAGGCUACCCUGGAC